rnacentral:miRNA from 1 species
UAUCUACUCUGUCAUGGUAUC